GCCCUGGUGGCACAAUGUUUAAGUGCUCAGCUGCUAACCCUGAAGUUGGUGGUUUGAACCCACCCAGUGGCU
rnacentral:tRNA from 1 species